CUAGUAACGGCGAGUGAAGCGGCAACAGCUCAAAUUUGAAAUCUGGCGUCUUCGGCGUCCGAGUUGUAAUUUGCAGAGGGCGCUUUGGCAUUGGCAGCGGUCCAAGUUCCUUGGAACAGGACGUCACAGAGGGUGAGAAUCCCGUACGUGGUCGCUAGCCUUUACCGUGUAAAGCCCCUUCGACGAGUCGAGUUGUUUGGGAAUGCAGCUCUAAAUGGGAGGUAAAUUUCUUCUAAAGCUAAAUACUGGCCAGAGACCGAUAGCGCACAAGUAGAGUGAUCGAAAGAUGAAAAGCACUUUGGAAAGAGAGUUAAAAAGCACGUGAAAUUGUUGAAAGGGAAGCGCUUGCAGCCAGACUUGCCUGUAGUUGCUCAUCCGGGUUUCUACCCGGUGCACUCUUCUAUAGGCAGGCCAGCAUCAGUUUGGGCGGUUGGAUAAAGGUCUCUGUCAUGUACCUCUCUUCGGGGAGAACUUAUAGGGGAGACGACAUGCAACCAGCCUGGACUGAGGUCCGCGCAUCUGCUAGGAUGCUGGCGUAAUGGCUGUAAGCGGCCCGUCUUGAAACACGGACCAAGGAGUCUAACAUCUAUGCGAGUGUUUGGGUGUCAAGCCCGAGCGCGUAAUGAAAGUGAACGGAGGUGGGAACCUUUCGGGGUGCACCAUCGACCGAUCCUGAUGUCUUCGGAUGGAUUUGAGUAAGAGCAUAGCUGUUGGGACCCGAAAGAUGGUGAACUAUGCUUGAAUAGGGUGAAGCCAGAGGAAACUCUGGUGGAGGCUCGCAGCGGUUCUGACGUGCAAAUCGAUCGUCAAAUUUGGGCAUAGGGGCGAAAGACUAAUCGAACUAUCUAGUAGCUGGUUCCUGCCGAAGUUUCCCUC
rnacentral:rRNA from 1 species